GCCGGGCCGGGGCGGGAGGCUCCGCGGCUCUCCGCGGGCACGGGCGCAGCGGCGGCGGUGGCAGCCCCCCUCCGCGGAGGGGGCAGGGGGCAGGAGGAAGGACAAAAGUCGGCGGAGGCGGCGCGGCGGCGGGCUAGGUAGCCAGAGGAAAACCGAGGCACCUGGCGCACCAGCCGUGCUCCCGACUGCGGUGGGUGCCGUGGGACUUUUCCCUGGGUGAUCCCGGGUCACGGAAUGGUAAAAAGAAGAAGAAGCGCAAAUAUCGGCCUCUGCGCUCCGAGCCUGCGGUCGCCGCUUCCCGGGCGGGCGCGGAUGCCCUCGGCCGGAGCCGCUCUCGGCUCGCAUCUUGCCGGCAGCGACCGAGUGCUGGAAGCAGGAAAGAGCAAUUACAGCUGGCGAGGCCAGUCCCGCCAAAGAGAUGCUAACACGGCACUUACCUUCGUCAUGAAACUAGGGAUAAAAAAGUAGCUCUUCCUAGGAGAGGCAGUGCAAAGGAAUGCGAGAAGUUCAAGGAAAAAAAAAAAAAGAAAAAAAAGAAAAAAAUAAUAAAAAGAAAGAAAGAAAAAAAAAAAA